rnacentral:tRNA from 1 species
CCUGUAGCUCAGUUGGAUAGAGUGUUUGGCUACGAACCAAAAGGUCGGGGGUUCGAAUCCCUCCAGGC